rnacentral:misc_RNA from 1 species
AGCAGCCGCGGUAAUUCCAGCUCCAAUAGCGUAUAUUAAAGUUGUUGCAGUUAAAAAGCUCGUAGUUGAACUUCAGGCCUGCCCAGACGGUCCGCCUUAAUUGGUGUGUACUGUCCUUGGGUGGGUCCUACCUUCUGGCGAAGCGGCAUGGCCUUAAUUGGUUGUGUCGGGGAACCAGGACUUUUACUGUGAAAAAAUUGAGUGUUCAAAGCAGGCAAAUAUGCUCGAAUACAUUAGCAUGGAAUAAUGGAAUAGGACGAUGGUUCUAUUUUGUUGGUUCUAGGACCGUUGUAAUGAUUAAUAGGGAUAGUUGGGGGCAUUAGUAUUCAAUUGUCAGAGGUGAAAUUCUUGGAUUUAUUGAAGACUAACUACUGCGAAAGCAUUUGCCAAGGAUGUUUUCAUUAAUCAAGAACGAAAGUUAGGGGAUCGAAGACGAUCAGAUACCGUCGUAGUCUUAACCAUAAACUAUAGCCGACUAGG